rnacentral:lncRNA from 1 species
CCACUAAUCUAAGUCCCAUCCUCGUAAUGUGAACUUUCAUUUUUGACUGGCUCAAUUGCUUUGUUAGCGGGUUUACCAUAUUGUUCAUGGAAUCUACUCUUCGCAUCUCAAUAUGUUUAUUUUUGAGGUAGUCACAUAUGAUAUUGUUAGGACCAUAGCCCCUAACCAACUUUUUAAAAGGCAAAUGCCCAUUGGGAGGCGGAGUUUAUUAGCCUUUAUCCACUAGGCACAAGGGCUUCAUACCUAAGUUGAUGCGCAUCAAGCUAGAUCACCCUCAAUCAGCAAGCUAGGCGGUUAGACCCAUU